rnacentral:rRNA from 1 species
CAUACCGCGUGAGGGAUGACGGCCUAUGGGUUGUAAACCUCUUUUUUCAGGGAGGAAUAAAUGACGUGUACCUGAAGAAUAAGCAUCGGCUAACUCCGUGCCAGCAGCCGCGGUAAGACGGAGGAUGCAAGUGUUAUCCGGAAUCACUGGGCGUAAAGCGUCUGUAGGUGGUUUAAUAAGUCAACUGUUAAAUCUUGAGGCUCAACCUCAAAAUCGCAGUCGAAACUGUUAGACUAGAGUAUAGUAGGGGUAAAGGGAAUUUCCAGUGGAGCGGUGAAAUGCGUAGAGAUUGGAAGGAACACCGAUGGCGAAGGCACUUUACUGGGCUAUUACUAACACUCAGAGACGAAAGCUAGGGUAGCAAAUGGGAUUAGAUACCCCAGUAGUCCUAGCUGUAAACAAUGGAUACUAGAUGUUGAACAGAUCGACCUGUGCAGUAUCAAAGCUAACGCGUUAAGUAUCCCGCCUGGGAAGUAUGCUCGCAAGAGUGAAACUCAA